GAUGAACGCUGGCGGCGUGCUUAACACAUGCAAGUCGAACGAUGAAGCCCAGCUUGCUGGGUGGAUUAGUGGCGAACGGGUGAGUAACACGUGAGUAACCUGCCCUUAACUCUGGGAUAAGCCUGGGAAACUGGGUCUAAUACCGGAUAGGAGCGCCUACCGCAUGGUGGGUGUUGGGAAGAUUUAUCGGUUUUGGAUGGACUCGCGGCCUAUCAGCUUGUUGGUGAGGUAAUGGCUCACCAAGGCGACGACGGGUAGCCGGCCUGAGAGGGUGACCGGCCACACUGGGACUGAGACACGGCCCAGACUCCUACGGGAGGCAGCAGUGGGGAAUAUUGCACAAUGGGCGAAAGCCUGAUGCAGCGACGCCGCGUGAGGGAUGACGGCCUUCGGGUUGUAAACCUCUUUCAGUAGGGAAGAAGCGAAAGUGACGGUACCUGCAGAAGAAGCACCGGCUAACUACGUG
rnacentral:rRNA from 1 species